rnacentral:rRNA from 1 species
GACGAACGCUGGCGGCGUGCUUAACACAUGCAAGUCGAACGGAAAGGCCCCUUUGGGGGUCCUCGAGUGGCGACCGGGUGAGUAACACGUGAGUAACCUGCCCUUGACUUCGGGAUAACUUCAGGAAACUGGGGCUAAUAACGGAUAGGAAUCCUUGCUGCAUGGUGGGGGUUGGAAAGCUUCGGCGGUUUUGGAUGGACUCGCGGCUUAUCAGCUUGUUGGUGGGGUAGUGGCUUACCAAGGCUUUGACGGGUAGCCGGCCUGAGAGGGCGACCGGCCACAUUGGGACUGAGAGACGGCCCAGACUCCUACGGGAGGGAGAAGGGGGGAAUAUUGCACAAUGGGCGGAAGCCUGAUGCAGCAACGCCGCGUGCGGGAUGACGGCCUUCGGGUUGUAAACCGCUUUCAGCAGGGGCGAAGCUUGUGGUGACGGUACCUGCAGAAGAAGCACCGGCUAACUACGUG